AUUUUGACCCGACUUCCAUUUGUACGAUAUCUGUGUUUCUUUUCCAAAACCCUAGAGAGCCUCCAUCUCCAUUCCAAGCAACUGAUCUUCUCUUCAAAAUGUUUUCCUUUUAUGAAUGGUCCGCAACUUUGUGACCUAAAUUCUUCAGCCGCUUCAUUCUUCUCAUUCACACUUUCUCUUUUCGACAGUCCUUUCCUUCAUCCAGUUCUUCCUUCAUCGAUUCAUCAUUAUUAAUCAUAGUCAUCUACUAUCCAUACGAUUCAAGCAUCAGAAUGCCCUAGCGGCCACCUCCGGUGAUGACGGCGAGGGUUUCGACGAGUUGAUUUCAGAAAUGGAAAAUAGGUGAAAUUUAUUGAAGGGGAGAUUAUAUUAGCAGCUGAAGAACUGGAUGACUUAACUAAUAGCAGGUUUGACUGUUCAGGUUGACUUCGGAAAUAGAGACGAUAAUAAUAAAAUCUAGGGCAUCCAUAGUUGUAUUGUCGAAGAACUAUGCAAAAUCCAGAUGGUGCCUUAACGAGCUUUGGUUGAUCCUGGAGCAAAGGAGGGAGUGCAAUCAUUUCCAUUCACAUGUUUUUAUCACGUCAACCCAUCAGACGUUAGGAACCAAACAGGAAUAUUUUCUAUAGAAGGGUCAAAAGCGACAGUGGAUAGUGUGAAGCAGUCGAAGGCAGCAUUAACAGAGGUGGCCGAUUUGAGUGGCAUGGUUCUUUCUGGGGAGAAAGUGAAAAACUAACCGUUAACAACAUGAAUAAACCCAAGGUAUUCGGAAACAGUUCAGACGGGUGCUGGUAAAGAUGUAUCUAUUUGUCAUUGGCGGCGUCUUGAAGUUUUAUAAGAUUUUAACCUUAAUAAAUUAAGAAAACAGAGGUCACGUGUCUCAUAUGCAUCAAUAUCUGCAAUUGAAACUAUAGGUACGAGUUACUCUCGACACAUGGAAGAUGAGUAUCAGAAGUUUAUCCGGAGAAUGAACCCGCCUCGAGUCUUAAUCGACUAGGAAUCGUGUAAAAAUGGUACAAUCCUUCAGGAUUAGGAUUAAUUGGAAGCAAGAAGGUGUUGAAAAAACCUUUCUUGAAGCAUGUGUUCAUCAAAUAACCGUUAAUGGAUGUGAAGGAAGUAGUCUUAAACAAGCGUCAUGGAAAACUGUAGCUGAAAAUUUGAAAACACAACAUAAUUUCAUAGUGGAACAACGUCAAAUGAAGAAUCACUAUGAUUUUCUAAAAGGAAAAUUUGCAGCUUGGUUAAAGCUUAAAAACAAAACCGGGAAUGUCUAUGAUCCAGUUACAAACAGCUUUAACUUGUCAGAAGAAGAGUGGCAAAUUGAGAUGAAGUCUAACAAGUAUGUAGAAGCUUUGAGAAGUGCGCCACUUGCUUUCCCCGAGCUUUGUUGUCAAUUGUUUGAGGGGUCUACUUCAAAUGGGUUUGAUAGUUGGGGGCCAAGUUCUACGCUUCCUCAUCCUUCUGAGGAAGUGAAUGAGCACAAUUUGGAUGGUAUGGAUGUCGAAUGCACUCAAGUGGAUUCCCCAGGUAAAGGUGUUAGUGAGGAGUCAAGUAUUCGGUCCCAAAAAAAAAAGAAAAAGGAGAGAAACGAAAACAUAAGGCAACAUUAGAGUCACAGCUUAUAGAAGUUGGUGAAGAUAUUAGCAAGUUGGCAAAGAUGAUGAUUGAGAAACACACACUUUCUGAUGAUAUGGAUGCAUGUUUGGAGAAGUUGGAGACAUUGGGUUGGGAUGAGUCGGAUGCGAAAUACGAAACAACGCUUUUGCUUUUUGGUGAGAGUGCCGAUCUUAGGAAACUGUGGGUACGUCUUAAGCCGCAUAAUUGUGAGAAAUGGGUUAAGAAUGCGGGAGCGAAGUAUGGAUUGUUUAACUAAUAUUGUGCUUUGAUUGUUUUUUUUUUUUUGGGUUAGAUGUUAUGUUUUGGAUGUUAUGUUUUGGAUGUUAGGAUGUUAUGUUUUGGAUGUUAUG